rnacentral:lncRNA from 1 species
AAAUCACCCGGAGUUCCUAAGCUUACCAGAUCCAGAACCAAAACCAAAUGUGAAAUCACAGAUGCCAUGAUAGCUCAGGUAACAUCAAUGGGUUUUGAACCUGAGAUGGCUCAGAGAGCACUUGCCAAGCAUAAAGGUGAUGUACCUAAGGCGAUAGAAGAGCUAGUGAGCAGUGGUGGUGACAUAUCUCCGCCAGCACCAGGUGACCAAAGUCCGAGCACUUCAUCAGGAUCCUCUGAUUCCACUACUUCAGGUACUUUGGAUUCCAUUACUUCAGAGGAGAGAUGAAGGAACAGUGAGAAUUACUUCCAGAAGAGCUAUGGUUCUGAUCUCCACAGGCUCAUGUCAGUUAAGG